GUUGUGAUUGGUGGGUAUUUGUUGUGAUUGGUGGGUAUUUGUUGUGAUUGAAGGGUAUUUGUUGUGACUGGUGGGUAUUUGUUGUGAUUGAUUGGUGGGUAUUUGUGAUUGGUGGGUAUUUGUUGUGAUUGGUGGGUAUUUGUUGUGAUUGAUUGGUGGGUAUUUGUUGUGAUUGGUGGGUAUUUGUUGUGAUUGAUUGGUGGGUAUUUGUUGUGACUCGUGGGUAUUAUGAUUGAUUGGUGGGUAUUUGUUGUGAUUGGUGGGUUUCAUGUGCUGGUCUGUGUACUUGUUCCUUCAGUGUUGAUUUUGGGUUCUAACCUUACAACCUUUUUCUCUUUCAUUUUUAGUUUCUUUUUGCACAGUAUAUGCCUGAAUGGCUCUGGGUGUGGGGAGCAAAUAUUCUCAACCGUUCACUACGUAAGGAGGCCUUAUCCUGCACAGCCUGAGUCUGGAUGGCCACUUGAGAAGUUUUGCCAACUCCUGGGAACCUCGAUAUUUUGACAUUUGGAAAAACACAUUUAAUUUAUCUCCUGUGUUUUAUUGCUGAUUAUUCAGCAUACUGUUGAUUCGUCAUUUGCAAAGCAGACAUAAUACUGUCAGAGUGCUGUGAAAAACCUCAAGGGUGUGUGGAUGGCACAGGAUCAAUAAUGCCUGAGGCUGAUUGAAGACAUGUACAUUUCAGUGCUUUUUCCCUAAGCUGUUCAAAAGUUACGCUUUUCUGUUAUUCUAGAGCCACAGCAGUCUAAUAUUGAAAUAUAAUGUGAUUUGUCAGCUAUUAUAAUUUCAGAUGUUGUUUUUUAAGGGAAAUUGACCAUUUCACUAGAGGAGUUGUGCUGGUUUUUAAACGUGCAUCAAGAAAGACUACUGAAAAGUAUUAUUUUAUAACAGAUUGCUGGUACUAUUAGGAAAAAUCUGUGUGUAUUGUAUAGCUCUAGCUGUUUGACUAUCUGUAAUGUCUGUAAUGAAAAUGCUGCACUUCAACUGGUAUUUCAUUAGAGAACCGUGUGUGUGCGUGUGUGUGUGUGGUGUCUUUGAGCAACUUUAUUUAUGGUUACCAUAUUUUUAAAAAGAUUUUUUGUCAGGAUGACUUAACAUGGAAUCUUAUAGGGUAUUAAAACAAUCUAGAUUAUUCCUUUUCAUCCUAAAUAAGCCUACCAAAUUUCAUGCUGUUGGUUUGCCAUGAAUAAUAUUACUUCCUACAUUGUAUUUUUGUUUGUUUUUUCAAAUCUGCUAUGGAAUGAACUUAUUCCUAGAUUUGGAUAUGUAAGAGAAACCUGCAGUCAUCUUUUGAUUUAUAAGGCAAUUCUUGUGGAUAAAUAGUGAUUUCUCAGCCUCUGACCCAUUUUAUAACUGAAAUUUAGCCCUUUAGAGCUUGUUAUAUCUGGUUUUCCUACGUUUUUCUAUGUAAUAUUAUUCCAUUCCAGUAGCAUUAUUGAUAGGAAUAAUAAGUAUUUAUGGAAUAGUAAAAUAUGGACAAAUUAUGUGUGUGACAUAUCUGUCAAAAUAAGUUAGAAGCUUAUUCUUGGUUUAUGUAAUGAAUUUAUGUAUUGUAGUGAAUACCUUUAUUGGUGUGAAGAUAAUUAUGCACAAACCCUCACAAUAUGCGUUAACAUUGAAACCUAUGAAAUGUCCUUAGUUUGGGUCGUAUAAAGCCAACCAUUUCUGAGGACUAUGUACCUAGUGCUUUGAAAACUGUAAGUCACUAUAUGAAUAUGACAAUAUGUGCACAUUUAAAAUUCAGAGCUCGGCAUUGUGGUACUGAUGCAGAAGCUAGUAGAUUGGUUAAAAGUCUGGACUUCUGUGGCAUUUUUUUCGUGACGUGGAAAUCUAUCAUGAGCAGACCUAAGCACAGUUUUAUGGACACAGUUUUGCCCAUGACAUUGCCUACCGGAUUUCCAGAUGUGACUUGCACUCAGAAGAUCAGUGGUCAACUUCAGAAGCUCUUCCACACUUAGAUCAUGUCUUCAGAACUUAGAUGUGAAAAUCUACACGCUGGGAGAUGCUGUGAGCCCCAGGGUUUUGGUGGAGUUAGCUUGGAAUCCUCUUGACUUCAUGCCACACUGACGUGAACUUUGAUGUAUAAUAAGCAGCAGCAACUUCAUGUGAAAAUAUUGUCAGGUAGUUAUAUGUAAGGUUACGUGGUCCAGUAAUGUCUUAGAUUGAUAAAUUAGGUAUGGAAUCAGAAUCAGUGUUAUGUGAUGAGAACAGGUGAACACACCUUGUCAGUGAUGAUGUAAAAUUCUCUACUUGGCAGGACACGGGCAAACAUGCUGAUUGGUGCAAAUGUGGUGCCGAGCUGUCCAUAGCUGUAGUGAAAGAUGACGAGCAAGACCUUCUCCAGGUUUUCUAGCUUUCAUUAAAUGUAUUUUUUCCCCAGAGCUAAUUUGAAAGUUGAUUGAACCAUUGUGGAUGGGGUCUCAUUAAGAAUGUGGGAAAUAGGGGCCGAGCGCAGUGGCUCACGCCUGUAAUCCCAGCAGUUUGGAAAGCUAAGGCGGGUGGAUUGCUUGAUCCCAGGAGUUCGAGACCAGCCUGGGCAAUAUGUCCUGUCUCUACAAAAAAUACAAAAAUUAGCCAGGCAUGGUGGUGCAUGCCUGUAGUCCCAGCUACUUGGGAGGCUGAGGCAGGAGAAUUUUUUGAGUCCGGGAUGCAGAGGUUGAAGUGAGCCAAGAUCGUGCCACUGCACUCCAGCCUUGAGACAGAGCGAGACCCUGUCUCAAAAAAAAAAAAAAAAGAACAUGGGAAAUAUGAACCUUUGAAAGUUAAUCUGUGAAUUGAAAGUUUAACAAUAAAAGUAGUUGUUUCUGUUUCCUUUGGAAGAGUUUUGUUCCAGAUUUUUGUAAUUUGGUUGUUUGUAAUUUGGAAUGAGAGAAUUUUUUUUUUCUUAGGAGCGAUUGCAAGAAAUUAACUUAUGAACAACAGUGGUCAUAACUGAUUAAAAGCUGACACGUCAGUAA
rnacentral:sRNA from 1 species